rnacentral:rRNA from 1 species
UAGAGACUCAGAGCUGCAUAUCAAUAAGCGGAGGAAAAGAAACUAACAAGGAUUCCCCUAGUAACGGCGAGUGAAGCGGGAAGAGCUCAAAUUUGAAAUCUUAAAGGGUUUCCCUUUACGAAUUGUAGUUUAAAGAAGUGUUUUCUGUUGAGGUUUUGGUAAAAGUUCUUUGGAAUAGGACAUCAUAGAGGGUGAGAAUCCCGUAUUUGACCUUUACUUUCAACUUUGUGAUACACUUUCAAAGAGUCGGAUUGUUUGGGAAUGCAGUCCAAAAUGGGUGGUAAAUUUCAUCUAAAGCUAAAUAUUGGCGAGAGACCGAUAGCGAACAAGUACCGUGAGGGAAAGAUGAAAGGAACUUUGAAAAGAGAGUUAAACAGUACGUGAAAUUGUCAAAAGGGAAGCGUUUGACACCAGUGUUGUUUUUCUGAAAAUCAAUUAAAGAACUGUUUAUGCUAAGCUGUUUAGACUUUAUCAGCUAACUGUUUAGUUUUGAGCUUUUCUUUAAUGCACUUUUCAGUUAACAAGUCAACAUCAAUUUCUUUUGCUGUAAAAAAGCUUGAGGAAGGUGGCUUGGGAUUCGUCUUAAGUGUUUAUAGCCUCUUGCCUAUGCAGUCGGAGAGAUUGAGGUCUGCAGCGUAGAUCCUUCGGGGCUAAAUGCAUUUGUGCUAAGUUAUAGCAUUUUAUAGACAACUUGUUGACUAUGAUUUGUCUUGUAGCUUACUCGCUUAUGUUAUUUUACCUACGCUUAGGAUGUUGACGCAUGAGAUAUACGC